rnacentral:rRNA from 1 species
UACGUAGGGUGCGAGCGUUGUCCGGAAUUAUUGGGCGUAAAGAGCUUGUAGGCGGUUUGUUGCGUCUGCUGUGAAAUCUCAAGGCUCAACCUUGAGCUUGCAGUGGGUACGGGCAGACUAGAGUGUGGUAGGGGAGACUGGAAUUCCUGGUGUAGCGGUGAGAUGCGCAGAUAUCAGGAGGAACACCGAUGGCGAAGGCAGGUCUCUGGGCCACUACUGACGCUGAGAAGCGAAAGCGUGGGGAGCGAACAGG